rnacentral:rRNA from 1 species
UACGUAGGGUGCAAGCGUUAAUCGGAAUUACUGGGCGUAAAGCGUGCGCAGGCGGUUGUGCAAGACCGAUGUGAAAUCCCCGGGCUUAACCUGGGAACUGCAUUGGUGACUGCAAGGCUAGAAUCUGGCAGAGGGGGGUAGAAUUCCACGUGUAGCAGUGAAAUGCGUAGAGAUGUGGAGGAACACCGAUGGCGAAGGCAGCCCCCUGGGUCAAGAUUGACGCUCAUGCACGAAAGCGUGGGGAGCAAACAGG